UUCUUCUUCUUCUGCCGGGAGUUGAAUUAAGGUGCAGACGGCGUAGGGGUAGAUGCAGAGGGGGGCGGGACCCUGCAUCUUCAGCCUCCUGUUGGGAUUGUUUCGUCCCGAUGCGAUAGCGCCCCCCCAGAGCUAGUUAGCUUUGCUGAGGGUCUACAGAGUUGGAACUCUGGAAUACCGAUAAGGGUCUCAGGUGUUUCAUGAUCAUCAUCAGGCUAUGGAGCGGGGAAUUCAGGAGUGGGAGAGAAAGAGCCAAAGUUGUUGCUGUGGGUGCUGCCGACUCGCUGACCCUGACCCUUAUACCUAUUCCAAGCCCUACCAGUAGAGGUCCCCCAAACCCCAAUUUAUGAGCUGGAAUAAAAUUAUAUCAAAGUUUAGUUGGGGUGGCAAAAGACCCACGAUAAGACUGGAAACUCUCCAGCUGCCUAAAGAAGAAGGAGGGAUGAGACUUCCAAAAUUAAAGGAAUACUACCAUGCGGCCCAAUUGAGAUAUAUUGUAGGUUGGUGCAAACCAGACACAGUGAAAUGAAAUAGAAAAAGAGUUUGGAGAAAACCCAGUACAGAAUAUAAUUGGGGAUAAAGAAACAUACAAGAAGAUUCAAAACCAAAUAGACACAAUCACGAUGUUCACAUACAAAAUAUGGUUCAGCAUAAUAAAAAAAUAUAAGAUACAGAAAGACACUAAUUUAUUGAAUAUGAUAGCAAUUUUACACCGACUAGGUACGAUAUAGGAUUUAAACAGUGAACAACCAAGGGAAUCACAGCAUGGUGUGUUUUGGUGAAAGAUGACAGCUUGAGAGUUUCCAAAAUAUGACAGAAAAAAAGGAUUUAGAUAAUCAAUCAUGAAUUCUGUGGAUUCCUGCAACUUAGAGACUACUAUAUGAAAGAGAUCAGGAUGGACCCCUCCUGAGAAGUGAAUAGUGUGAUCCAGAUCAUCAUAAUCAACGCAUACAAAGAAACCACAAUUAGAAUUAUAUUGGGACUAUAUAAGAAAAUGCUACAAAAUACAUUAAAAAAAAAGAUGGGAAUCAGGAUUUAACAUAAAACUUAGUGAUGAAGAUUGGCUAAGAUUGGUAUAAUCCGCCAGACAUUAGCCUCAUGUAUGAAACAAAGUGAUUUCGAAGCAGAAACAUAUUUAGGUUACAAGGUCAGAGCUGCAGUGACUUCCUGACAAGUACAAAUGAGCAUUUCAUGGGUUGUACUGGCAACAGAUAUGACAAAUGUUGGGUGGCUGGGCUAUUUUUUUUUAAUCAGUCUUGAAUAUGUCAAAGAUUACCCACAAUAUUAACUUUGAAGCAUUGUUAGUUUUGUGUAGCAUCAGAUAAAACAUGUUAAUUUGAAAAGAGGACAUUUGUAAUAUGGAAAUGAUUGGUGGUUUUGAGGAGGACUGA